rnacentral:rRNA from 1 species
GUGUGGAUAGGGGAGAAAUUCCAAUCGAACCCGGAGAUAGCUGGUUCUCCUCGAAAUAGCUUUAGGGCUAGCCUCAUAUUAGUUUAGCGGAGGUAGAGCACUGAAUUCCUAAGGGGGCGUCAAAGCUUACCAAGGGAUAUCAAACUCCGAAUGCCGCAUAAAUGAUGUACGGGAGUCAGACUGCACGAGAUAAGUUGGGCAGUCAAAAGGGAAAGAGCCCAGACCUACAGCUAAGGUCCCAAAGUGUGUGUUAAGUGGAAAAGGAUGUGGGAUUUCAAAGACAACUAGGAUGUUGGCUCAGAAGCAGCCACACAUUCAAAGAGUGCGUAAUAGCUCACUAGUCGAGAGGUCCUGCGCCGAAAAUGUCCGGGGCUGAAACACAACACCGAAGCUUAGGAAUGUAUGUAAGUACAUUGGUAGAGGAGCAUUCUCAGGACGGAGAAGCGGUACCGAUAAGGAGCCGUGGAGUGCUGAGAAGAGAGAAUGCCGGAAUGAGUAGCGAGAUGGAGGUGGGAAUCCUCCAGGCCGAAUAUCCAAGGUUUCCAGAGUAAAGCUGAUCUGCUCUGGGUAAGUCGGGGCCUAAGGUAAGGCUGAGAAGCGUAGCCGAUGGACAACAGGUUGAGAUUCCUGUACCGCGUAUCAUCAGAACUGUGGGGACACAGAAGGACAGCACAUCCCGGGAAUGGAAAGACCGGGGCAAGCAGGGUAGGAGUUAAGCUGGCAAAUCCGCUUAACAAUCCGAAGCUGUGAUGCGGAGCGAAUUUAAGUAGUGAAGUGUGCGAUUCCGGCUGUCAAGAAAAGCCGCUAUUGUGUGAUACGUGCCCGUACCGUAAACCGACACAGGUAGAUGAGGAGAGAAUCCUAAGGCCGGCGGGAGAAGCAUUGUUAAGGAACUCGGCAAAAUGACCCCGUAACUUCGGGAGAAGGGGUGCCACAGAGAUGUGGCCGCAGAGAAUAGGCUCAAGCAACUGUUUAGCAAAAACACAGGUCUAUGCAAAACCGUAAGGUGAGGUAUAUGGGCUGACGCCUGCCCGGUGCUGGAAGGUUAAGAGGAGGGGUUAGCGCAAGCGAAGCUCUGAAUUGAAGCCCCAGUAAACGGCGGCCGUAACUAUAACGGUCCUAAGGUAGCGAAAUUCCUUGUCGGGUAAGUUCC